GACGAACGCUGGCGGCGUGCCUAAUACAUGCAAGUCGAACGCACAGUUUAUACCGUAGCUUGCUACACCAUAGACUGUGAGUUGCGAACGGGUGAGUAACGCGUAGGUAACCUGCCUGGUAGCGGGGGAUAACUAUUGGAAACGAUAGCUAAUACCGCAUAAUAUUGAUUAUUGCAUGAUAAUUGAUUGAAAGAUGCUAUUGCAUCACUACCAGAUGGACCUGCGUUGUAUUAGCUAGUAGGUGAGGUAACGGCUCACCUAGGCGACGAUACAUAGCCGACCUGAGAGGGUGAUCGGCCACACUGGGACUGAGACACGGCCCAGACUCCUACGGGAGGCAGCAGUAGGGAAUCUUCGGCAAUGGACGAAAGUCUGACCGAGCAACGCCGCGUGAGUGAAGAAGGUUGUCGGAUCGUAAAGCUCUGUUGUAAGAGAAGAACGGGUGUGAGAGUGGAAAGUUCACACUGUGACGGUAUCUUACCAGAAAGGGACGGCUAACUACGUG
rnacentral:rRNA from 1 species